AUGCUCCGGCGCCGAGGCCGCGUCCUCAUCCAGAUGCUCUCCACUCCCUCCGCCGCCACCACCUCCCCUCUCCACCGCCCCAUAUCCGCCGCCGCCCGACCACAGCUACACGCUCGGAGCUGCAUCCUCUCCUCUCCCCGCCGCCUCCUCUCCGGCAUCUCUCCAACAACCGGGUUCGCCGUGGAGGAGUACCUCGUCGGCACCUGCGGCCUCACCCGACCGCAGGCACUCAAGGCCUCCCCCAAACUCGCCCACCUCAGGUCCGCCGCCAACCCCGACGCCGUCCUCGCCUUCCUCGCCGGCCUCGGCCUCUCCGGCGCCGACGUCGCCGCCGUCAUCGCCCGGGACCCCAAGUUCCUCUGCGCCGGCGUGGACAAGGGCCUGUCCCCCAUCGUCGCGGGGCUCUCCGGCCUCGGUUUGUCACAUUCCGAGAUCGCGCGCCUCCUCUUGCAGUCCCCCAACAAUUUCCGUUCCAGAUCCAUCGUCCCCAAGCUGCAGUACUACCUGCGCCUCUUCGGCUCCUCCGAGAGGCUGCUCCGUGCCAUCAACUUCAACACUGCCCUCCUCGCCUACAAGAGCAAGGUGGAGCUCAAUGUCGCGUUCCUGCGUCAGUGUGGGUUCGGCGAUUGCGAUAUGGCCAAGUUGUGCAGCUCGAUACCGAGGAUGGUCACCACCGACCUGGAGCGUGUUCAGAGAAUGGUGGCAUUGACCGAAGCUCUCGGUGUGCCCCGGGGAUCUGGGAUGUUCAGGCAUGCUCUGAGUGCCGUCGCAUUCCGCGACGAGAAGCAGAUCGCAGCCAAAGUGGAUCACCUGAAGAAGACGUUAGGGUGGUCGGAUGCCGAGGUGGGCAUUGCUCUGCCUAAGGCCCCGUUUUUGCUCGCCAAGUCGAGCGAAUCGCUGCAGCACAGCUCCGAGUUCCUCAUGUCUGAGGUGGGGUUGGAACCCGCGUACAUUGCUCAGCGGCCGGUAAUUCUCUGUUACAGCCUAGAGGGCCGGAUGAAACCUCGGUACUACGUUGUAAAGUUUCUCAAGGAAAAUGGAUUGCUCAAGCACGACCCGAGCUACUAUACUGUUUUCAAGGAGACCGAGAAGUAUUUCGUGGGGAAGUUCAUAUACCCUCACAAGGAAGCUGCACCACACCUUGCUGAAGAUUAUGCUGCCUCUUGCGGAGGGGAAGUGCCCACUAGAUUCAAAUUUACAUGA
rnacentral:rRNA from 1 species